rnacentral:rRNA from 1 species
UACGGGGGGUGCGAGCGUUGUCCGGAUUCACUGGGCGUAAAGGGUGCGUAGGCGGUCGGGUAAGUCUGAUGUGAAAUCUCAGAGCUCAACUCUGAAACUGCAUUGGAUACUAUUCGGCUUGAGGUCUGGAGGGGGGACUGGAAUUCUCGGUGUAGCAGUGAAAUGCGUAGAUAUCGAGAGGAACACCAGUGGCGAAGGCGAGUCCCUGGACAGAUCCUGACGCUGAGGCACGAAAGCUAGGGGAGCAAACAGG